AGAAGGCUGCUGAAACAGAGUUGUUGACCAAGUUUGCAUAUGGAGGAGUGGUUCUCCAGCCUGGGUUUAUUUAUGGAACUCGCAAUGUUGGAAGUGUGAAGUUACCUCUUGGUGUAAUGGGUUCUCCGUUGGAGAUGGUUCUCCAACAUGCAAAACCACUUAAACAGCUUCCCCUCGUUGGACCCUUGUUCACCCCCCCUGUCAAUGUUACUGUCGUGGUGAAAGUUGUAGUAAGGGCGGCAACUGAUCCAGUUUUCCCUCCAGGCAUCGUGGAUGUUUAUGGAAUACUUCGUUAUAGCCAGCAGCAAAGAGCAAUAUAGAUUUGUUGACAGCAAUUUCUACUUCUUUUUUUUUC